CUAACUCUGAUUACACGAGGAAACCGGGUCUACUUGUUGAAAAUGUGGUAAUGAGAUAGUUUCCACCCAGACGGGAAGCCCGGUUCUGGCGGGGGAGGGGCGCCCGCAUUUCUUCUGGUCUCUGUCUACCCACCCGAGGAAGGUAGAAAUGAUCAGGUCAGCGAGCUCUUCUUUUCCUUUACCAAUUUUUUUUUUCUUUUUCUUUUUCCUUUUUUUUUUUUUUAAAGCUGGGUGUCUUACUUGGGUCCGUACGGCUGAGCGGGCUGAUGCAGAAAUACUGGUGGAAACUAGCAGAGACUUCUGAUGGCAUAUGUGUUUCCUGCGAGUGCAGCCUUGCAGCACCGGGGAACCGGGGAUUAGGGGCAGAGCCAUUUUAUCGUCCAAAUUCUACUUUGUUUCCUUGGGGACACGUUGUGCUUAUUUGUUGACUUCAAAUGAGAACUGCUUCAGGAGCGUUGUCAAAGAAGCCAAAGGGAUUCGUUAAGCGGACGGGCUGUUUUAGAACGGAGACGUUCGGAGACAAUAAUGACUAAGGUCAUUUUGGCUGAUGUUUACUGAGCUGAUGGCCGUGUGCCAGGCACCGUUUUAAGGUUUGGUUGUGAUUAGCUCCUGUAACCUUCCAGAGCGGGCCCCGUGCAGCGGGCGGCGAUGUUCUUCCCAUUGUACAGGUGAGGCAGGCAAGUCGAGUCAGCAGGCUGAGGUUUCCCAGCAGCUGAGCUGGGAGCCAGGGUUUGGGUCUAAGCUGGCUCUGAGGACCGUGUUUGAUUCAGUUCCGGUUUCUGAGAAAAUCUGCAUGUUCGUUUUUGGGAGCUGCUGAGCCGAAGAAGCCCAUUGGCUGUGAGUGAAAUAGUGGGGUAGCUGGCUUUGGGUCCAUCGCACUACGGAGGACCAAGGCAGACGGCUAAUCUUCAGUGUAGACUCCUGAUUUCUUGGUCACUCUAUACCUCCCAGGGGCGUGGCUCUAACCUUAAUCUCCUCUCCAGUAUUUUCCCCAAACCCCAGCAUCCUGUUUGAGGGUGUGGCUGGAGAGCUGUGGUCGGGAGACAGGGGCUCAGCCACCUGGCACGCUUCCCUGGAGCCACUCACCUCUGACCCUCUUCUUUAGGUGCCUCUCCGGUCUCGCUUGACCUCCAGUUUGGAGAAGGUGUCCAAAGAACCCUGAAAGGCAGGUAGGCAUCUCCCAGCUUCCGAUCACUCGGAUUGAGGUAUCUUUCUUCAAAGACUUCCACUUGCUUUGUCUACACUGAGGAGUCGUUCUGGUGGUCAAGAGCUGCUCAGGUUCUGGAGUGGACAGACUCGGGGCCAGCUCUGUCUGUCUCACAUCAUAGAAACACUCUUGCUUCUCUUCUCCCGCCCAGAAUAAGUACCCUGGCAGGGCCGUGCAGUGGUUGAGAACAGACCUGGUUCUGAGUGCGGGUGAGCUCCUGUGUGGCCGUGGGCAAUGGUCUUUGUGACACCAGCCUGUCCUAAUUGAACGCUCCCUAUGUGCCAAAUUCCCCCAAAGCAUUUUAGUAGUGAGGACUUAUUUAUUCCUCCAAAUACACCUGUCAGUGAUUACUCUUACCUCCGUCUGUAAAAGGCCAGGGGUGGAGGUGGGGAGGGAGCUCCAGUGAGACGGCAAAGGCAAUAGUUGGGUAGCCCAGGGUCUUGGUUUGAACCUGGAAACCCGUUUCAAGAGCUCAGCCCUAGAACUCACUACCUGUCUCACCACUCGGAGGUGUGGCUUCUAAUCUGGGUGACGAGGGUACCAAUUCUGCCUGGGUAUCCAGAAAUGGUGCAAAUAAUGUACUUGGCCCAUAAGAAGUACUUAAUCAAUGGUCACUAUUAUUAUUCUCUAGUCUCCGAGGCCAAAGUCAACCGCUUAGUACAGAACAGAAUGGCAUGAGUCAGCAUGGGCUUUGGAAUUUGUUCGGGCUAGAAUUCUACUUCAUUCUUGUUGUAGAAUCUCAAGCAAGUUAAAGAAGUUAGUAAGGCAGAAAGUGAGUUAACCUCGAAUGGCUACGGUCUCCUCCUCUGCCAGAUGAAUUUAAGUCUACAGGUUAUCAGGAGAAUGGG
ensembl:lncRNA